GAUGAAGAACGCAGCGAAAUGCGAUAAGUAAUGCGAAUUGCAGAAUUCAGUGAGUCAUCGAAUCUUUGAACGCACAUUGCGCCCUGUGGUAUUCCGCAGGGCAUGCCUGUUCGAGCGUCAUUUCAACCCUCACGCUCUGCUUGGUGUUGGGCCCUGCCCGCUGCGGCCGGCCCUAAGACAGUGGCGGUGCCGCCUGGCCCUGAGCGUAGUACAUCUCUCGCUCCAGUGCCCGGUGGUAGCCUGCCAGAACCCCAACUCUCGUGGUUGACCUCGGAUCAGGUAGGGAUACCCGCUGAACUUAAGCAUAUCAAUAAGCGGAGGA
rnacentral:misc_RNA from 1 species